rnacentral:tRNA from 2 species
GCCCAGAUAGCUCAGUCGGUAGAGCAGUGGACUGAAAAUCCGCGUGUCGUUGGUUCGAUUCCGACUCUGGGCACCA